rnacentral:rRNA from 1 species
GAUGAACGCUGGCGGCAGGCCUAACACAUGCAAGUCGAGGGGUAGAACACUUCGGUGUUUGAGACCGGCGCACGGGUGCGUAACGCGUAUGCAAUCUGCCUUGUACAGGGGAAUAGCCCAGAGAAAUUUGGAUUAAUGCCCCAUAGUAUAUAACCUUCGCAUGUUGGUUAUAUUAAAGUUCCAACGGUACAAGAUGAGCAUGCGUCCCAUUAGUUAGUUGGUAAGGUAACGGCUUACCAAGACGAUGAUGGGUAGGGGUCCUGAGAGGGAGAUCCCCACACUGGUACUGAGACACGGACCAGACUCCUACGGGAGGCAGCAGUGAGGAAUAUUGGUCAAUGGGCGCAAGCCUGAACCAGCCAUGCCGCGUGCAGGAAGACGGUCCUAUGGAUUGUAAACUGCUUUUAUACAGGAAGAAACAACUCUACGUGUAGAGUCUUGACGGUACUGUAGGAAUAAGGAUCGGCUAACUCCGUGCCAGCCGCCGCGGUAAUAC